GGGUGGUAAUGCCGGAUGCUCCAGUUGAUCGCAUGGUCUUCUGGGAAAGCUUUCGCGGUAUGGGAUGGGGUCGCGUCCUAUCAGCUUGACGGCGGGGUAACGGCCCACCGUGGCUUCGACGGGUAGCCGGCCUGAGAGGGCGACCGGCCACAUUGGGACUGAGAUACGGCCCAGACUCCUACGGGAGGCAGCAGUGGGGAAUAUUGCACAAUGGGCGCAAGCCUGAUGCAGCGACGCCGCGUGAGGGAUGGAGGCCUUCGGGUUGUAAACCUCUUUUAUCGGGGAGCAAGCGAGAGUGAGUUUACCCGUUGAAUAAGCACCGGCUAACUACGUGCCAGCAGCCGCGGUAAUACGUAGGGUGCAAGCGUUAUCCGGAAUUAUUGGGCGUAAAGGGCUCGUAGGCGGUUCGUCGCGUCCGGUGUGAAAGUCCAUCGCUUAACGGUGGAUCCGCGCCGGGUACGGGCGGGCUUGAGUGCGGUAGGGGAGACUGGAAUUCCCGGUGUAACGGUGGAAUGUGUAGAUAUCGGAAAAA
rnacentral:rRNA from 1 species